UACGUAGGUGACAAGCGUUGUCCGGAUUUACUGGGCGUAAAGAGCGCGCAGGCGGUCCGAUGCGUCGUGCGUGAAAGACCCCGGCUCAACUGGGGGAGGUCGUGCGAUACGGUCGGACUUGAGGCCAGUAGGGGGAUGCGGAAUUCCAGGUGUAGCGGUGAAAUGCGUAGAUAUCUGGAGGAAUACCGGUGGCGAAGGCGGCGUUCUGGACUACAUCUGACACUGAAGAACGAAAGCCAGGGGAGCAAACGGG
rnacentral:rRNA from 1 species